AACGUAGGAGACAAACGUUAUCCGGAGUUACUGGGCGUAAAGGGCGUGUAGGUGGUUUCGUAAGUCUGGCGUGAAAUUUUUCGGCUUAACCGGGAAAGGUCGUCGGAUACUGCGGAACUAGAGGACGGUAGAGGCGUGUGGAAUUCCGCGUGUAGCAGUGAAAUGCGUAGAGAUGCGGAGGAACACCGAUGGCGAAGGCAGCCCCCUGGGUUGACACUGACGCUCAGGCACGAAAGCGUGGGGAGCAAACAGG
rnacentral:rRNA from 1 species